GACGAACGCUGGCGGCGUGCUUAACACAUGCAAGUCGAACGGACUACUUUGCUUCGGUAAGGUGGUUAGUGGCGAACGGGUGAGUAACGCGUAGGCAACCUACCUCUUAGAUGGGGACAACAUCGCGAAAGCGGUGCUAAUACCGAAUGAAGUGACUUUCCUGCAUGGGAGAGAUACUAAAGGUGGCCUCUAUUUAUAAGCUACCACUGAGAGAGGGGGCUCGGUCUGAUUAGCUAGUUGGCGGGGUAACGGCCCACCAAGGCGACGAUCAGGAGCCGGUCUGAGAGGAUGAACGGCCACAUUGGGACUGAGACACGGCCCAAACUCCUACGGGAGGCAGCAGUGGGGAAUCUUCCGCAAUGGACGAAAGUCUGACGGAGCAACGCCGCGUGAGUGAAGAAGGUUUUCGGAUCGUAAAGCUCUGUUGUUUGAGACGAAUGUGCCUGUUUCGAAUAGGGAUAGGUAAUGACGGUAUUAAACGAGAAAGCCACGGCUAACUACGUGCCAGCAGCCGCGGUAA
rnacentral:rRNA from 1 species